ACGCUCGACACCUACGAGAGGCAGCGGUGGGGAAUAUUGCACAAUGGGGGAAACCCUGAUGCAGCGACGCCGCGUGGAGGAAGAAGGUCUUCGGAUUGUAAACUCCUGUUGUUGGGGAAAAAGAGGAUGGUACCCAACAAGGAAGUGACGGCUAACUACGUGCCGNNCGCGUAGUAUGAGCGGCGNGNGAG
rnacentral:rRNA from 1 species